GAAAUUUCCACGUGGGGAAGGUUCAUCUCACACGCCCAAUUACCAAAAAUAAUUUAUUGAAAUUUGGCUCCACAUCAACCAAGAAUAUUUAAAAGAAUCAAAUUGUUGGGGGUUAAAGGAUUCAAUAGGAAACUGGGUUAGUUGAGGUACCUGAGGGAAAAAAUCGAGCAACUUUAGGGACCUGCAUAUGUAUUUGCCUCACUACUAUGGUAUUUGAAAAGUUGUUUUUUCCCAAUAGUUUUAUAUUAUUUACUUGAGCAUUGCUUUAAUGCUCUAAGCUACCAACGCCAUU
rnacentral:misc_RNA from 1 species